rnacentral:rRNA from 1 species
UACGUAUGGUGCAAGCGUUAUCCGGAUUUACUGGGUGUAAAGGGAGCGCAGGCGGCACGGCAAGCCUGAUGUGAAAGCCCGCGGCCCAACCGCGGGACUGCAUUGGGAACUACCGGGCUGGAGUGCCGGAGAGGUAGGCGGAAUUCCUAGUGUAGCGGUGAAAUGCGUAGAUAUUAGGAGGAACACCAGUGGCGAAGGCGGCCUACUGGACGGUGACUGACGCUGAGGCUCGAAAGCGUGGGGAGCAGACAGG